rnacentral:lncRNA from 1 species
UGCCGUUUGGGGGGGGGGAAUACACAUAAAUAUGGAACUAUGACUCUUCGAACCCAUUAUCUCUUUCCCUUAAUCCUAAUAUCACUUUCGUCUUGUGAUCGUAGAGAAUAAACCCAAAUUAUUUGUAGUCAACCGAGAUAUACACCUGUAAGUACAAUUUCACUUGUUGAAUUUCUACAUAUCUUCUAUAUUGCUUUCCGUUUGUUUAGUUGGGCUAUUGAAUUGCAAUUUUUUUUUUCAAUUUUUUGGAUCUUUUUAAGAAAUCGAACCUAAAAUACCUAACUCUGUUCUUUCCAUGUUAUUUUUGUGUAUUUUUUGUUGAAUUUCUUCGUGAUGUGUAUAUGUUUUCGGGUAUCUACAGCCGUGGUAUUCAAUAUGAGUCUUCCUUUUUUGUUCGAUCUUUUAAGAAAUCUAACUAGGAUAGUUCAAGUCUCUUCCUUUGAUGUUCUUUUUGCGUGUUCUUUGUUGAAUUCCUCCCUAUUGUGUAUAUGUUAACUGGUUUCUGCAGUUGUGGUGUUCAAUAUAUGUUUUAAAUCUUGUAAUUUUUCUGAAUGAUGUUAUAUUCUCAUUUUCCUCUUCUGAUGUGUAAUUUUAUUUUAGCCACAAUCAUGAAACUUAAAAAAAAUAAAAAAAAAUAAAUUAUUUUUCUAUUACGUGAAUGUUAAAAUUUUCUUGCAUCAAAUAAUUAAUGAAUUUGAUUCCAUUUUUCAUAUUGUUUUUACUAAGCAACCAAAAUAAAAAUGUAUCCACUUGGUUAAGAUCUUGACUGCAUCAUAGUAGAUGCCCACAAAACUUAAUGAUAUGGAAAAAACAGCGGGCUUGCCUGUCUAUUAACAUUUGAAAGGAAUUCCUUUGCUCUUGAAGUAGUUUCUGGAAUGUUGCGUCGCAUACCUCUGAGACAACUCAGGUGCACUGAGUUCAUUAGUAGCCCUCUCUUUUUCUUUUGCACUAUCUUUAUGAAUUUCAGAAGGUGACCAUCAUUUUUCUCACGAAAUACAAUGCAUGCUAAUAGGUUUACCAGGUGAGUUAUAGUCCAUUGUUACCAAUCCAAGCCACGAGUCAGCAGGUAAAAACAGGCAAUGCUUCUCCUUUACUUGCUUAUGUAAUUUUGACUUUUUUUUCCUUAUCUUUACUUCAUCCCUAGGCUACAAGGUAUGCAAGUUGACUAUAUCUUGGUGGCCUUCCACCAUUGGCUAAUGAGUAGGUAUGUACUGAUUCUCCUCCUUUACCCUGAACCUUUGUAUUUCUGCAUUUGCAUUAGGUAUAUUAGAUUUGUCGAUGUGUUGAUUAUGAGUUCCUCUUAAUAGUUUCUCAUAUCUUGUAGCCUAUCUCAGUUUCAUUAUGUUGAAGACCAUUGUACUUUCCCAUUGUACUCUAAUCUCAACAUGAGGGGAAAAAAGAAAAUCUUAAUUGGUUUUUGUGGGUGCCUGGAUUUGUGUUGCCUCCAAUAUUUUUCUGCAUAAUUACCUUAUCAAAAUGAUUUUUGUUGGAGUGAUCACUAAUCAUUAUAUAGACCUUUUUUUUUUUUUUUUUAAAUCUAUUGAUUUCAUGUUUAUAGAAUUUGAGAUUUUUAUCAUAUACUUUUUAUAUGUAGUCAAUGUGUAUGUGCCCAAGGACAGAGUCACAAAUGCUUAUCCUGUACUCUUUUUGGUAUUGUUUCUUUCUGAUUUUUUGGUUAGUUUUAAAGUUAGAUAUUUUGAAACUCAUAUAUUUCUGCAUGGUGUAUAGUUAUAGAAAAUCCUUUAGAUGAUAGAAAUAGUUAUAUCAUAUCCACAUAUAACUCCAUCAUAUUAUUCUAUUAAUGUAAACAAACGUGGUACUCUUUCAAAUUUGUGUUUGCCAAUCUUUAAUUUGCCUUUUUAGGCUGAAUUCUUUUUUGACCAAUUAUCUCUCUUCACCUAUGAAAAAAAGCUGAAGUAUUGAAAAGGUUACUAUCAAAAUUAAGCCUAUAGAUAAUUAAUUGUUUUCAAAUAUGACAUGGCAGCCCCCAUGGAGUCAUCAGAUUUGUUCUAAUUUUCCUUUAAUUAGAACCUCUAGAAAAAUAAAGAAAAUUCUCAAGAUCAAUAUUUCCUUAACCUCUGCACUAAUUUUCAUAUGCACUAACUAAUGUCAAUUUCUUUGGGUAGAAAUCUUUUUAAAUGAGCAUUUCACAGACUCCUUCGAUUCUUUAACUAUAGACGGAUUUCAGAAAUGACGCCUUUUAAAUUCAUUUCCCUAUUUGCACUUUCUCAAGUCAAAAGUUCCUAAAUGAGGGCUGCUGAUUUUCUUAGUUACGAGUUGCCAUUUAGUAAACUCAAAAAUGGAAAAGUGUGAUAAUUUUUAAAUAUUGAUUUCUGGGCUACUUCUUUUUAUGGAUUUUUUGUUUUGAUUUGAUUAAUUCUUAAAAAAUUAUGAAAAUGUGAACAAGAAAUUGGGAUCUUGUAAAGAUUUGGGCUAUUGAUUCUUGGCGUUGUAUUUAUUUUGGGUAAGUUGGGGUAUGAAAUGGUAAAGUAUAUCUUUGUUGAAUAUAUGCACAAAAAUUUUAGUUCUUUUUUAUAUGUACUUAAAAUUUCUUGAUGAUACAUAGUUAAAAGUAUUUUAGCAGAAAUAAUAUUGGUGAUAUGAUAAUUUCACUGAAUUGACUACAUGUUGAUGGUAAUGUUGUCAAUAGGGCUUUGGAAAAUAGAGUUGGUGUUGGUGGUACAAGUAACGAUAGGAUGUUUGUUUGUUUAAUUGCGUGAAUCAAUUUUCUUUUGUUUAUCAUUUUCUUUUGGUACAAUUCCUUUUAUAUGUAUUGAUUUGCUUAGGUUUUUUGAGGUUUAUACAUAAUUUCAAAAGUUUUAGUUAUUUCUUGCGCUGAGGUUGUUUUUUCUUUUGAGUGGGUAUGAAUUUCAACUUACUUUGUAUGUUUUGUUUUGACAUUGAAAUUAUAAUGUGAUUUCUUCUUUUGAUGGUAUAUUUGUCCUUUUUCUUUUGAUAGAAUAUUUGUCUUUUGUGUUUUCCUUUUGUCGUUCAAUUUUAUUUGGUUGUAUCUUUUCAUGCAUAACUGCUCUAAUAGCAUCAGUGGUCUUGAGAAAUUGAUUUUGGUUGUUCGCAACUUGAAUAAUAUUCUGGGUGUGCUCUCAAUUCUGUUAUUUAUACUGAUCAAAGAUUGUCUUGGCAUAAUUAUGUUGUAUUAUGUGCAUUAAAUAACUCGAAAUCCUUUUCUGCUCAAGAGUUUACUAUAUUAUGUUAAUCUUGUAACAAUGGGCAUAAUUUGUUGUAGACUUUGUAAUUUGUAGAACUUCUUAGCCUUUUGCAUCUUGUGUUUAUAUUGUGUUAAACAAGUUUAAAUUCAUUUUAUCAGAAUGUAGCAUAUCGAUCGUCGGAGGCAUGAAGAUGUUGCAUCUUCAUAUACAGCAACAAAACACUACAGCAUUGAGGAUGAUUAAGUAGAGGAACAUCCCAAGGUAUAUUAGCCCUUAAAAUUUUUAUCUUGCUCCAAUAAAUUUGUUGCAUUUCUAUGUAAAUUCAGUUAUAUAUGGUUUUAUAUGGUGGAAGUAUCAGUUGCACAUUAGUCCACUAAACUAUAAUUCUAGAGUCUUUUAUCAUUUAUCUUUGUAGUAUGUUUCAUGCAUUGCAUUCACUAGUUUAUAGAAUCUUUCUUCUCGAGCAAUAUAAGCUUUCACCAUUAAGAUGUUUUUGACAUCAUAAUAGAUGAACUAAACCUGUACUCAUAAUGCAUUUCGAAGGAAUAAUUAAUCCUGCAUCUAUUUUGAAAUGUUCUUUGAUUUGUUGCAUGCACUCAGAGCCGGUCCUGUGAUUGAUGGGCCCUGAAGCGAAAUGUGUAAAUUAGGCCUCCCAGCGAAAGCAAUGUAAAUACAAAAUUCAACGGCGUAUUAUUAUAUCCAUUGCUAACUUAAAAAACUAACUUUAAAACAACAACUAAAUAUAUUAUAGAAACGAUUUAUAUAAAUACAAAAUUCAACGGUGUAUAAUGUCCAAUAAUUGACCUAAAAAACAAUUACAAAAUAUCUCAAUCAUCACACAAUUACAAUUUCCAAUACAGUUACUAUGUGCAUCUGUGCAAUUGUUCAUCUCACAAUAACCAAUCAUAUAAGCCGACCAAGCUGCAAUUAUAUAAGCUGACAAGGCUUCAAACAUUUUCAAUCUCUUUAAUAACAAGUUAGGGCAAGCCAUUGCUUAUCUGAGAAGUGGAAUUUUGACGAUAAUUGUGGAAUUACACCGUUGAGAAUGAUCUCGUCACAACUCACGAGCCUGAAACAAAAAUUUAUAUAAAAUAAUAUAUGAUGUCUAAGAUUGCCAAGACUAAGAUCUAGUGAUAAGGGAAUUAAGAAUAUUUAAGAGCAGCAAACCUUCAAUUUUUGAGAUCUGUCACCUCUCACUUUCUUUUUGCUCAUUAUAUUCUUGAACCAAACUCUAGAGCCCAUUAUCGAUGCUUAAUAUAGCUCACUGUGUAACGAUCCGGACCUCUCGCCCAAGCCGUUAGCUUACGUACUGUCUGCUUUGGAUGGACCUUACACCCACUUACCUCUCACGGCUUUCUAUCGCGUUCCUCAGGAUUCGAACUCUUGACCUCUACAUAAGAGAGACUUAAGUUGAAUCGUGGUACCAAUUGGGGCGAGCUGCUAGCUUAGGUAUUGUCCGCUUUGCGUGGGCCUUGCACCCACUUACACCUCACGGCUUUCUAUCGCGUUCCCUAGGAUUUGAACUCUUGACCUCUAUAUAAGAGAGAUUUAAGUUGAAUCGUGGUAACAAUUGGGCGUUUCAUAAGAGAUCCUGGUCCUUUAUUUAUAGUUCUUGCAUUAACUAGUCUGGAAUUAGGUGUAGCUAUAUCACAAGCUCAUGUUUCUACGAUCUCAAUCUGUAUUUACUUGAAUGAUGCUACAAAUCUCCAUCAAAGUGCUUAUUUAUUUAUAAUUGAACAAAAGCAAUGAUAGUUGUAGACUACUGAGUUUACGAGGUGAAGGAGCGAGAACUUCCCCCAGAUCAAAAAACAAAUCUUCCUCAAAGUCUAUCUUGUCUUUACCACGAGUCAUUUUGGCGCCAAUUGGUACCGCGAUUCAACUUAAGUCUCUCUUAUGUAGAGGUUAACAGUUUGAAUCCUAGGGAACGUGAUAGAAAGCCGUGGGGUAAGUGGGCGUAAGGCCCACCCAAAGCGGACAGUACGUAAGCUAACGGCUGGGCGAAAGGUCCGGAUCGUUACAAAAACUUGCCCAAUUGGUAUCGGGAUUUAAGUCUCUUAUGUAGAGGUCAGAAGUUCGAAUCCUAGGGGACGCGAAGAAAAGUCGUGAGGGAUAAGUGAGCGCAAGGCCCACCCAAAGCGGACAGUACGUAAGCUAAUGGCUUAGGUGAGCAGGUCGUUACAAAAAAAUGCGCUUUUUUUUGUAACGAUCCGGACCUCUCGUCCAAUUGGUCCAAUUGGUACCACGAUUCAACUUAAGUCUACCUUAUGUAGAGAUCAAGAGUUCGAAUCUUGGGAAAUGCGAUAGAAAGUCGUGGGGGGUAAGUGGGCGCACGACUCACCCAAAGCGGACAGUACGUAAGCUAACGGUUUGGACGAGAGUUCCGGGUCGUUACACAUUGGAAUACCCUGCAGAUGAUGUAAAAGUCUCGAGUAAAAAUGGGAUCACUAUUGAAUUAUUGAUUUAGUCAAAUGCUUAAUUUGCAAGUGUCUUGUGAAAUUGUUACCAUCAUAUUCCAGUCUACAGACAAUAAUAAUUUGCACUCUUCAACUAAAUUUAUGAUAAUAGCUUUACACAAAAGCCAAAAGAAGAACGAUUCAAUUUCACCUUUUACUCCGAACACAAUUGAAUCAAUUACAAUACAUAAAGCCUAUACAAUUUAUAUUUUGAAGUAAAUGAAUAGAAUUCAAUCUUAUGAAUUGAAAUGUAAUUUUAAAUCAUAAUAACUCAAUGAAAACUAGUAUGUAAAACUGAAAAUGUGCGACUUGCAGUUGCUGGAGAGUUAUUUCGCAGUUGCUCUUCCAUGUGGAUAAGUUUAUGGUUUCGAUGUUAGCAAAGUGAAGGGGCAAGUCAGCUUGAAAAAUCUCAUGUCAUGGUUGUUUUCUUUUGGAUUAUCAGAUUUAAUAACUAGCUUGAGUUACAACUUCUGAAGAUGUGGAGAAGUAAAGAAAAGUUCAUGCUGAGAUCAUCCAUCAAAAUCAGCAAACAAUAUUGGCCACAAUCUCUAGAAAACACUAUACAGCCCUACAUGGAACUAACAAAAAUCUAUUCUCGAAAACUACUUUGGGCUCUAAUCACUAAUCAGUAAACUAAACACUACAUAAAUCCACAGACCUACUGACCUAACAUUCCAUAAAAAUAAUAUUGGACACUGAUCCACAUAAGCUGAAAAAAUAAAUAAAUAAUAAUAAAUAAAAAAGGACAGUUUAACACCUAAAAAAUUGUAGCUGAUACAUUUCAAACCUUUUAAUAAAUAAAUAUGCGUUCGAAGGACCUCUAGAUGAUUUCUAUCCAAAAUGACUGUUAAGUGACCAAGAAUCAACCGUUUCAUCAUUUUUAAAAUGAACAGACUUAUAUUUUUCUACAUAAAACAAUUAAAUUGAUUAAGUCGUUGAUGAUUUAAAUAAGCAUCUGAUUUCUAGUAUAUUUUUUUUAAUUAAAAUUGAUAGAAUGUACGAUUAAAAAGUUGUGAAUCCAUAAAAUAUACGGUUAAUUGUUUACUAAUUUUAAUCAAUUAUGUUUAGGCUUUAGCUGAACAAAACAUGGAAUAAAUAAAAAGAAAUAAAAAAUGAGGAGAAAAAGAGAGAGAUAGAUAUUAAUUCCUCGUCCACUUCCCACCCCCGCACUCCCAACCAACACCCACCACACCCACUCAGAUAUAAUGGUAUCUAACAAGAUUCAAUGCUCCUUAUCUCUAAUUAAUUUGUAAAGAAAUAGAACAAAAAAGAAAAUUUUCAACAACUCACAAACCCACAUAAGCUGAAAAAAUAAAUAAAUAAUAAUAAAUAAAAAAUUCUAUUCUAGAAAAACGCAUUUGUAAUAAUCAGUUGGGAACUCUAGACAAACCUAGAUAAAUUCAAUGAUAUUCUAUUCUAGAAAACAGUAGGCAAAAAGGAUUUCAUAACUACAAGAUUGGUAAUGUCUUCAAGUGCUCCAACGAAGUAAAUAAUAUAAAAAAUUUAGAAACCGGUGGUCGGAGCUAAAGGAGGCGACUGACCUGAAGAAGACGACACUUAGGCGAGUGGCGAUAACUGUCGGAUUGUGGACUGAUGAGCAGAGCAAAUUUUGGGAAUUUUGGAAAUUUUGAUUGAAUUUUGGGAAUUUUUGGUUAAUUGGAUUGGAUAGUGGAUAUUAGAUAUAUAAAUUGGGUUGGGUAAAUAGAUUUGAAAGGUAAAUGGAUUGUCGGCUCGUUGGAUAAUUGGUUUUGGUUUUUUGGGCUGGUUGGCCUUGUUUUUAAGAGGGGAAAAAAUUAUUCGGCCAAAAUUAGGCCUUUUCGGCCGGCUGGAUAAUUGGUUUUGGCUUGGGCCGGCUGGUGUUGUUCUUAAGAAGGGAAAUAUAUAUAUAUAUAUAUAUAUAUUUUUUUUUUUUUUUUUUUUUUUUUUUUUUUGGGCCAAAACGAGGCCCCCUAUGGUCCUGGGCUUGAGGCGCAGGCCUCAUUUGCCUCAGCCCAGGACCGGCCCUGCAUGCACUAACAUGUUCAUACUUACAAACAUGUGCUUUUCGUGGCUGUAUUAUUUAAAUUCUGGGUAAGAACUUGUACCAAAUUAACUGUUUUGAAGAAUGUGGUGCUUCACAGCUAACUACCUCGUUUCUUUCGUCUUAUAUAUUUUUAUGUUUAAGAUUCUUUCUUGCUUGUCAUGUUUGGAUUUUUUUUUUUUUUUUUUUUCAUUUUUUUCUUAUUAUUGUUAGCUGCUUGUUUUAAGCCAAUUUCAAUAUUUGAUACAACACGUUAGUAGACAUCUAGAGUUACAGGAUAGUAGGUGCUCCUUUCUCCUUAUUUACGUACAUUCAUAUGUACAUUCAACUGUAUGAUUAUUAUGACAUCUAUUUGUUUAUUUAUGCUAUUUGUGAAGUAAAUUUCGUUUAAUUGUUUUAGCACGGUAAGAAUUGCAUUUGAUAACUGGGUUUUACAAGUUUUUUGGGUCUUAUUUAUUUAUUUAUUUUUAAAAUUUUUAAGUUCAGGGAUUUUGAACUUUCUCAAUCGUAGCUAGGAAGGUAACUUUGAAGGCUAUUGUGAUUAAAAGUUUCCUUAUUUUUCGAAGUCAAGUCUUUUUGCGUUUAUUCACCAGCCCUUUAAUAAAUAAUGUGUUUUAUGUAUGGAAGAACUGCAAUGGAAAAGCGUUGACAUGAUAUAUAUAUUAAAUGUUCUAUCGUCGUGCUUUAUUCCAAGUGUUCUGUUACCAAUCUUUUAUUUGUUCUUUCCACUUGAACUUCUAUCCAGUUUAAAAUUUUCAUCAAGACAUAAUUUGCAUUUUCUUGGCUAUGCACUAAAAUUCGUGAAUUUAUUGACCAAAAGAAUCCCCAUUUUCUGUUCUAGAUAUUAAAGCUUAUAACUUUAUUGGUCUAUUUAUAAUGUUAUACACAUUUUUCCUUAGUUUCUGCAAUUUUUGUAAUCGGGGAAAUUUUUGUUGAACUUCAUAUAAAACUUUUUAUUUAAUAUGUAUCGACAUUUCUGACUAAUGAUUAGCUUCUUUUAUUUUUUUGUGCAUUUACGUACGAGCAAUUUUUAGAGAAAAUGAAGCUUUUCGAGAUACAUUUGGAUCUGUUUCUUUUAUUGGUCGUCUCUUUCUCUUUUGUUGUGCUGGAAAAUGUCCUGCAUCAGUUGACGAUUUUAAUUUUACACAUUUUGGGCUAUGUCCUAUGAUGAGGAUAGGAGAAUUUUAGAAGUGGUUGCUAGGUAUUGUCCUUAGGACAAGAGCUUGCUGUUUGUGGAGAGUCAUUGAUGUUUGUUAAAUUGUGAAGUACUUACAAUUAUUGAGUUCUGCCUUUAGUUUGGAUAGAUAGGUUCAGUCUUAUAGAUCUAGGUAUAUAAAGUGACAUAUAUCUACAUUAAUGUGAGGACCUAAAAGCAAGGUCAAUCUUCCUAUGAACAUUGGAUCGAAACUUCAGAAAGCAUCCGAUGAAGGGAAUGCUUAUUGGACCUGUUACCACUCUGAAUCAGUAAUUUGUCAUAAACAACCAAUCCAGUCUCCAAAUCAAAUACAUUUUACUCUACAUCUUCUAUAAGAUUGUCAGCAAUUCUAAUGUAAUGCUUUCCCACUCUUAGACUAUGGGCCAUCUAUCGAAUUGCUUUAACCAUAAAGAAUAAGGUUGAAUAUCUAGAACUAGCUAGAAGUAGCAUUACUAAAAUUGACCGCGCAUAUUUAAACAAAAGUUUAUCUCUUAGAAAGUCUGAACAAGUGUUCUACUUGAACUGAGCUGUACUUUCCUUCCAGGUAAGAAAUUUUAGUAUUCGAAACACCACUUAAAGUCUUUAUUCAUCAUGGUCUUCCAAACCGAUUGAAACAUCCGCUUUUAUUUUCAUCUUUUUAAACUCUUCCUUGAUUAAUUGCCCAAGUUCAUAAUAGUUUUCAACUAUAAAAGGUAAUUAUAGGACAUCUUUUUAUUUGCCAAAUUAUAAAGAAUUGGUAGAACAGGGAGAUUACUUAUCUGCAUCAUGUGCAUCUAUUACUUUUGUUCACAUGCACAAAAGUGUUAACAAAGAAUACAGCUCUCUGCCAUGACAUGUUAUGAAAAAAAUGGGAAUCACUCUUCACAAUAGCUUUCAUACAAUUUUGUUCAGGCCUUUAAUUCAUCUAUUCACCAACUCCACACCCAUACGUGUUACUGAGACUUCAAUCACAUUAUGCUUUCAAUCACUGACAAUGAUGCAAAUGUAGAUACUAUUUCAGAUUCCAAGUAAGACAAGAAGCUUCAUUCAGUUUUCUGUGAGACAGUGAAGUAUGGUGUAGGCCUUGGUCGUAAUUUAUAUGACAUCAUAUUCUAUUUCUUACGUCCCAGCACUCUGAAGAAAAAAAAAUGAUAGUCAGUUUGUAAUCGGGAAAUUUUUUGAAUUUUACAUAUCACAAAACAUCAUAGGUAUUGUAUUGCUGCUGUUAUGAAUCUAUAUGCAUAUAUAAGUUAAUAUUUGUUCAUCGCUUCAAAUGAAGCUUAUGAGUAUGCAAUUUUCUCUCAAUUAUUUUUCCUCCACUUGAUGAAAUGACCAGUGAUGUCCCUUCAAGUACUCGUUGCUGGUGUCCAUGCUGCGAGUAACAAAUUAACAUCAUAUCUUAUUCUUUUAUGUUGUUUGCGGCUAUAACCUCAUUUCAAUCUCUUUUGGAAAAGUCUCCCAUUAUAGGUUCUUGUAUUUUCUACAACCCUUGGACUAGGCUAUGAACUUCUUUCACCAAUUUUAAAAAUAAUACAUAAUUAAACUGAAUUAUAUAACUCGUGGAACAACUUUCUAACCCCUUACCUUUUUCCUCGUAGCGGCUCUCAUCCAUCAUCUUGCAAGAAGUAUAGCGAGCAUUGCCUUCGGCUCUCUCUGAACAACCUAUACGCUUCCAAUUUAUAGAUCGACCACUAUUAAAAACAUUUUUGUCGAGCUUAAUCACCAUUAACGACACCGUCAAUGUUUGGACGUAAGGAUUUUUGCUUCUUUGCAUCUUCUACAGCUCAUUUCCUGUAAAUAUGAUUACUUAUAUUAUGUUCGUGCUUUUUGUCAUCCAACAUUACACCUUUUGUUGCAAUUUUCGAAUGUUAUUAAGUUCCAUUUGCCAUUUAAUAAAAAAUAUGUUCUUUUGUAAUUGUUUCCUA